rnacentral:rRNA from 1 species
AAUCAACGCUGGCGGCGUGCCUCAGACAUGCAAGUCGAACGAUUAAAGCUCUCUUCGGAGAGUGUAUAGAGUGGCGCACGGGUGAGUAACACGUAAGUAAUCUACCUUCGAGUGGGGAAUAACGUCCGGAAACGGACGCUAAUACCGCAUAAUGCAGCGGCAUCGCAAGAUGACAGUUAGUUAAAGAAUUUAUUCGCUUGAAGAGGAGCUUGCGGCAGAUUAGCUAGUUGGUAAGGUAAUGGCUUACCAAGGCUACGAUCUGUAACCGGUCUAAGAGGACGGUCGGUCACACUGACACUGAAUAACGGGUC